rnacentral:rRNA from 1 species
GAUGAACGCUGACAGAAUGCUUAACACAUGCAAGUCUACCAAGAAUCACUUCGGUGAGGAAUGGUGGCGGACGGGUGAGUAACGCGUAAAUAAUCUGCCCUUUAGACUGGGAUAUCCUUUGGAAACGAAGGUUAAUACCGGAUAUUAUGAGAUGGACGCAUGUUCAACUUAUGAAAGCUAAAUGCACUAGAGGAGGCGUUUGCGUCCCAUUAGCUAGUUGGUGAGGUAAAGUCUUACCAAGGCCACGAUGGGUAGCCGGCCUGAGAGGGUGAACGGCCACAAGGGAACUUAGACACGGUCCUUAGUCUGUCGGGAGGCAGGAGUGGGGAAUAUUGGCCAAUGGACCAAAAGUCGGAUCCAGCAAUUCUGUGUGCACGAGGAAGGUCUUCGGAUUGUAAAGUGCUUUCAGUAGGGAAGAAAAAAAUGACGGUACCUACAGAAGAAGCGACGGCUAAAUAUGUGCCAGCCGCCGCCGUAAGAC